rnacentral:rRNA from 1 species
UAACGAAUAUUGGGCAAUGGGCGAAAGCCUGACCCAGCAAUGCCGCGUGCAGGACGAAGUCCUUCGGGAUGUAAACUGCUGUCAGGAGUCCGCAAGCGAAGGGGUCCAACAGGCCCUGGAGUUGAGCAGCCCCAGAGGAAGCCUCGACUAAAUCUGUGCCAGCAGUCGCGGUAAGACAGAGGAGGCAAGCGUUGUUAGGAAUCACUGGGCUUAAAGCGCGUGUAGGCGGCUUAGAAAGUGUCGUGUGAAAUUCCGCGGCUCAACCGCGGAACUGCACGGCAAACUACUUGGCUUGAGGUCGGUAGAGGUGCCUGGAACUCUAGGUGGGGCGGUGAAAUGCGUAGAUAUCUAGAGGAAUGCCAGAAGCGAAAGCGGGGCACUGGGGCGAUUCUGACGCUGGGACGCGAAAGCGUGGGGAGCAACCA